rnacentral:rRNA from 1 species
UACGUAGGUGGCAAGCGUUGUCCGGAUUUACUGGGCGUAAAGAGCGCGCAGGCGGUCGUUCAAGUCGCGUGUGAAAGCCCCCGGCUCAACUGGGGAGGGUCACGCGAUACUGAUCGACUCGAAGGCAGGAGAGGGUAGUGGAAUUCCCAGUGUAGAGGUGAAAUUCGUAGAUAUUGGGAAGAACACCGAUGGCGAAGGCAGCCAUCUGGACCGACACUGACGCUGAGGCGCGAAAGCGUGGGGAGCAAACAGG